GGGAAAAGAGAGGAGAAAAAAAUGUUUGGAUGACCCGUUAAUUAUAUGAAAUUUAUUUAAAAGGUCCAAUAUAUUUGCCCCAUUAACCUUUUGUAUGGAAUAUAGUCUUGGCAAUUUUAUUGAUACAAAAAUGAAGGUUUAUUAAUUUUUAUGAGCCAGCUUUAAAUUUAAUGACUUUAAAGAGAUUAUGACAAGCUCAAUGACUACAAGUGAAACUAACCUAAUUUUGAAGUAAUAUAACACACUUUUAACAAGUGCAUGUCUUCCUCAUGAUGCUUUUUCAUCAUGAUUGUCUUUUCUCAAACUUCCUAAUAUUCCUUCAUUGAUUUGAUAAAGCGCCCAAGAAAGGCAAUUUCUGUAUGCUAAUGAUGAUGAUUGUGAUUUUUAAAUUGUAGAAAAUAGAGAAUUUGAAA
rnacentral:misc_RNA from 1 species